rnacentral:misc_RNA from 1 species
UCCAGCAGCCGCGGUAAUACGUUCCCGGGUCUUGUACACACCGCCCGUCACACCACGAGAGUUUACAACACCCGAAGCCGGUGGGGUAACCCGCAAGGGGGCUAGCCGUCGAAGGUGGGGUAGAUGAUUGGGGUGAAGUCGUAGCAGGGUAGUUGUAUCGGAAGGUGCGGCUGGAUCACCUCCUUUCUAAGGUUAUACCCAACUACUAUGAUUCUUGGAUAGUCGGGCAGGUUUUAUUGCUCACU